rnacentral:tRNA from 1 species
GCGGGUGUAGCUCAGUUGGUUAGAGCGUCCCCCUGUCACGGGGAAGGUCGAGGGUUCGAGUCCCUUCACUCGCG